UACGAAGGGGGCUAGCGUUGCUCGGAAUUACUGGGCGUAAAGCGCACGUAGGCGGCUUUCUAAGUCAGGGGUGAAAUCCUGGAGCUCAACUCCAGAACUGCCUUUGAUACUGGAGAGCUCGAGUCCGGAAGAGGUGAGUGGAACUCCGAGUGUAGAGGUGAAAUUCGUAGAUAUUCGGAAGAACACCAGUGGCGAAGGCGGCUCACUGGUCCGGUACUGACGCUGAUGUGCGAAAGCGUGGGGAGCAAACAGG
rnacentral:rRNA from 1 species